GGGAUGCGCUUGAACCAGCCAAGAAGUUCAUCAGGAUCUCCUUACCAGUGGGGGGCAGCACUGAGCUGUGGAGGCCCCUGCGCAGCCUCAGUCUGCUGCCACCCUCCCGAGGCACCAGGAGCCUGGUGCUGCUGUCUGACGGCCACGUGCACAACCCCGCCCUCACCCUGGAGCUGGCCCGCAGCAACGCCGCCCACACGCGCCUCUUCAUCUGUGGCCUCAGUAAAACUGCCAACAGACAUAUGCUGCGAGCUCUAGCCCAGGCAGGUGGGGGGCCUACGAGUUCUUUGACACAAAGACCCCGACCACAUGGCAGAAAA
ensembl:lncRNA